UACGGGGGGGGGCAAGCGUUGUUCGGACUUACUGGGCGUAAAGGGCUCGUAGGCGGCCAACUAAGUCAGACGUGAAAUCCCUCGGCUUAACCGGGGAACUGCAUCUGAUACUGGAUGGCUUGAGUUCGGGAGAGGGAUGCGGAAUUCCAGGUGUAGCGGUGAAAUGCGUAGAUAUCUGGAGGAACACCGGUGGCGAAGGCGGCAUCCUGGACCGACACUGACGCUGAGGAGCGAAAGCCAGGGGAGCAAACGGG
rnacentral:rRNA from 1 species